rnacentral:rRNA from 1 species
AUUGAACGCUGGCGGCAGGCCUAACACAUGCAAGUCGAGCGAGAAAGGUCUUCGGACUGAGUACAGCGGCGGACGGGUGAGUAAAGCGUAGGGAUCUACCUGGUAGUGGGGGAUAACUUGGGGAAACUCAAACUAAUACCGCAUACGCCCUACGGGGAAAGCGGGGACCUUCGGGCCUCGCGCUAUCAGAUGAGCCUGCGUAGGAGUUAGCUAGUUGGUGAGGUAAAGGCUCACCAAGGCGACGAUCCUUAGCUGGUCUGAGAGGAUGAUCAGCCACACUGGGACUGAGACACGGCCCAGACUCCUACGGAGGCAGCAGUGGGGAAUAUUGCGCAAUGGGCGAAAGCCUGACGCAGCCAUGCCGCGUGUGUGAAGAAGGCCUUAGGGUUGUAAAGCACUUUCAAUUGGGAAGAAAAGUUGGUCGUUAAUAGCGGCCAGCCCUGACAUUACCUUUAGAAGAAGGACCGGCUAACUCCGUGCCAGCAGCCGCGGUUAAAGUCGUACGAU